UGGCCUAAACCGCCAAUAAAUUGGCUAUACCAUACCGUAAAGUGACGGCCUAGGCCGCCAAUAUGUUUUCCAACAUUAAAAAAAAAUAAAAUCAAAGCCAAUAUGUUUUCCAACAUUAAAAAAAAAUAAAAUCAAUUCAACGCAGGAAACUUAAAAGUUAAAAUCAUUUGUCUUAACCAACACAGAGAAAAGGAACACAUCACACUACCACAAUCUAUCUUCACCAAUGAAACCAACCUUCCCAAACAAAAGAUAAACUAUGGAUUUUCAAACCACCGCUUCUGCAAAUCACCAACAUAAGGCAAUGCGAAUCGAUUUGUCUUCGUCAGAUCUGUCUUUGCCGGCAAAACCUCCAUGAUCGCUGCUCAUUCAUCUCCCUUGAUCUCUCAUCAGAUUUGUCUUGAGUUUUUUUGCCUUUCUGUUUCCUGUUAGCGAUGCAUCAGAGGUAUGGUAUUGUUGUUUGUUUUUGGAUAGUUCAUGUUUGUAUCUUUCUCCCAACAAAAAGGAUUCACGGUAAAACUUAAAAAUAAAAUCUUCUUUUUGUUAGAUGUGCGAAUAUUGUAGGCAUUGUUACUUGCUAGAUCUGGAAGAAAAUAAAUAAACAAACCCAUUCAUGAAGCUUGCUAGAUCCGGAAAAAACAAAUAAACUCAUAAAGAAACCAGUUAGAUCUGUAAAUCUAUGAAGUUAUACUAUUUUUUUUAAAAAAAAUAGGGUAAAUGAUUAUUUACCCCCCUGCAAAAUAAGCAAAUUUUCGUUUACCCCCUAUGCAGAUUUUUUUUCUGUUUACCCCC
rnacentral:lncRNA from 1 species